CUAGGAAUCUUGGGAAUGGGCGAAAGCCUGACCCAGCAACGCCGCGUGGGCGAUGAAGGCCUUCGGGUCGUAAAGCCCUUUUGCAGGGGAAGAUGAUGACGGUACCCUGCGAAUAAGCCACGGCUAACUACGUGCCAGCAGCCGCGGUAAUACGUAGGUGGCGAGCGUUGUCCGGAUUUACUGGGCGUAAAGGGCGUGCAGGCGGCCCGUUAAGUGCAUGGUGAAAGCUCCCGGCUCAACUGGGAGAGGUCUGUGUAUACUGGCGGGCUUGAGGGGGGUAGAGGAAAGUGGAAUUCCCGGUGUAGUGGUGAUAUGCGUAGAUAUCGGGAGGAACACCUGUGGCGAAGGCGGCUUUCUGGGCCCUACCUGACGCUGAGACGCGAAAGCGUGGGGAGCGAACCG
rnacentral:rRNA from 1 species